CACCAGGAGUGGAGCCUGCGGCUUAAUUUGACUCAACACGGGAAAACUCACCCGGGCCGGACACUAUAAGGAUUGACAGAUUGAUAGCUCUUUCAUGAUUUAGUGGUUGGUGGUGCAUGGCCGUUCUUAGUUCGUGGAUAUGAUUUGUCUGGUUGAUUCCGAUAACGAGCGAGACUUUUAUGUUAUAUUAAAUAAUAUUAUUUAUAAAUUUUAUAUUUUAUAUAAUAUUUUAUUUUAAUAACAGAUUAAUAGUGUUUAACUAUUUGAGAGAGAGCAAUAACAGGUCUGUGA
rnacentral:rRNA from 1 species